GAGGUCGCUUCCAUUCAUCUCCCUCACCAUCUUUUUUCUUUCUCGAUUUCUCAUAGCUUAUGAUAAAUCAAUAUCUAAGUUUUGCUUUGAACUUUUAUUUUUAAGCUUUUUGUAUGUUCAUGGUUUUGUUGCUUGCUUAGGUCUUAUAUUUGUUUGCGUAAGGUUUAUUUGUAUUGCUUUGAAUCAGCCUCUGAUGAUGAUCAAACACAUAACUUUCGUUCUUCCGAGUUAUCCAUGCGGAAAUUUUAUGGAGACCUGAACUGAAGAGGC
rnacentral:lncRNA from 1 species